CCUACGGGACGCAGCAGUCGGGAAUAUUGCGCAAUGGAGGAAACUCUGACGCAGUGACGCCGCGUAUAGGAAGAAGGUUUUCGGAUUGUAAACUAUUGUCGUGAGGGAAGAAAUUGACAGUACCUCAGGAGGAAGCUCCGGCUAACUAUGUGCCAGCAGCCGCGGUAAUACAUAGGGAGCAAGCGUUGUCCGGAAUUACUGGGUGUAAAGGGAGCGUAGGCGGGAGGAUAAGUUGAAUGUGAAAUCUAUGGACUCAACCUAUAGCUGCGUUCAAAACUGUUCUUCUUGAGUGAAGUAGAGGCAGG
rnacentral:rRNA from 1 species